UGCUGCCUUCUGAAAUCCAAAGUAGGCACAAGUACUGUCUCGGGCUUUUCCCUCCCUCUCACCAGCUCAUGACUGAUCUUAGUGCACAGCUCUUCACUUCAGAUGGGCUGACACAGAGCUGCAAGUACAGCCUCCACGUCAGAGCUCAAUAAAGAGCCAAAAUUAACCACUGAAGCACAAGCCUCCUUACAUUUUAGUAUUCAACCUGCAUUCCCAGAUAUAUGACUCUUCUCUGCUACUGCAGUGAAUGCUGCUGGCUGCCAUGGCAGCAAACAUCCUGGUGAAUUAAACCGGAGACACAGAAGCCUCUGCCCAGUUUACAGUGCCACAGGUUUCAAGACACAGCUUCACCUGAAUGGGAUGCUACUGUAACAGAUCUAGCUCAUGGUCAAAUCCUAUUUUUCUCCCAGAAAGCAGGUAUUGAAUUGUUUGGGGUUUUUCUAGCUUCUCUCUGGAUAAUUCCUUGAAGCAUCUCUUGAUUUGUGAGCCUUGGCCCUCUGAAGAGUUACUAUUGCCUGUAAAAAUUAACUGUCUGCACGGAAUUCAUCUACACCUAUUUAAUGGAGAAAACUAAACAGGAAAAGAACUGCAAACAGCAUUUUUUUCUGUCUACACAAACUGUUGAAAUAUUUUUGAAUACUUGUAGAAGUUUUGUAUAUGUUGUUUCUUCAAAUAUCCACCAGUACUGUUACACAUUCUGAAAACAUCAGGAAUUUAUUUUAUAAUCUUGUAAAAGAAUGGUGAGUUCUAAGCAAAUAUUAUCAAAUAUCAGCAAACAGAUGAUGAGGUUCUUAGUAUGCAAACAAGAAUAUUCACACUAGAAACCUGACUCAGCCGUGACCUUUCAAAUGCACAGAGAAUGUACCACAUGAUCUGUAUUUCUAAUCAAAACAUAGUAAAUAUUUGCAGUGGACUGCUUUUGUACAAGGUAAAGACUCAGAGUUCUUGUAAGAAAUUGUUCAUAGAGUAACAUUAAUUAAAAAGAAUAAUAUUAGAAAAACAUUAACAUGAUGCUGCAACAGAAACUGGGGGAAAACAGCAUGAUCCACCAUUACUUUAUCCAUUUUAGCUCUCUUUCCUAAUUGGAAGCACAAACCCCAAUCUUCUCCAUGAUCUUACC